GGCCUGGUGGUGUAGUGGUUACAUGUCCUCUUCAUGUGGACGGAUAAACUUUGAUCAGAUGGCAGAGGAAGUUCUCGGUUCGACCCCGGGUCCAGGCCA